GCCUGACACUGACAGCUGCGGCGGCGCCCGCCGCAACGUGCCCGGGGGCGGGGCCUGGCGGGGCCACGCCCCCCCCCCGCAGCCACGCCCCCGCCGCGCCACGCCGGGCUUGGCGCGCCCGCGCUGGACCCGGUCUCGUUCCGGAUCCCGAUCCCGAUCCCGAUCCCGGUCCCGGUGCCGGUGCCGGGUUCCCAGGCGGUACCCCUGCACCGUGGGUGCGUAGGUGGGAAAAGGGCGUCCCUCGUGCUGGGCGCGUUUGUCGUCAGAGGGGGAUAUUCUCCUCCAUUUGGCUCGGGAGAGGCCCUGAUUGUGCUCCCGCACGCGACUGCUGGCACUGCACAUGAGGAAAGAUACAGGCUGGACGGAAUCCAGAGGGAAAGAAGAGGAAUGAAACACGGUCAGAGAAACGUGCGCUACCACAAGGGUUGGUUUUUGUUUUCCCGGGGUGAAAAGCAGGGGAAGAGGACACGGCAAUGGUGACCUGGUACAAAAAAAAAAAAAAGAGGUCACAAAGAGAUUGCUUUUCCUCCAAAGAGAAAGUAAUGGACUUUCUUAGCAAUCCUAAAUUCAGCCUAGAUAACUGGGGGACAAUUGAUAGUAAAGUGGGGCAGCCCAGCAUCAGGCUACCCGGGGAUACUGGAGGUUUUCAAACAGACAAGGGAGACUUCUUUUAUGGAUAAUGCAAGCUUGGUCUGUUCACUCAGGACCUUCCCAAGUCUUCACAUGGUCCUUCCAGCUCAGGCAGGAGCUGGGCUUGGCUGAAACACGGCACAUUAUUCUGCAGAACUGUAGCAUUGCUUAAAAUUUUAGCUAAAUCUGCGAUUCUGCUAUUGUGGAUCACUCCUUAGGUGCCAGCCAGCAAUGCCUAGCUUUGUGCCCGUGCAGCUGAGAGAUGUGCUCAGCGUGCCUUGGCCAUGGCGGGCAUAGCAGCACCUUGCUGGCUGGGGGACGUGCAUCCCUGAGCCUCAGCAGGAGGGGAGAGCAGCACAAAUCUCUCUCUGCUGCAGAGUUCUUUCAUUCCAGUCACAUUACUUCAUUUUCUCACCUUCAUUCAUCAACUCCAGAACCAUUAGACCCAAACCUAUGGAAAAAAGAAAAGUCUUUUGGAGCAGCAAGACAAAGCAGAAAAACGUUGCUUCCUUCAAAUUCUCUCCACACUGAGGAGGCACAGGCUUCAACCACAAACACAUCUUCAGUCUUCUUCUGGGUUGCCUUUUAUUGUCUUCCUGUGUCGUGCUGUCUUGCAUCUUCAGGUAACCAUCCGUCAUGUGGCAGAGUCCUGUGCCAGGACCGGCUGCCUUUUAGCAGGAGUUUACAGGGGCACAUCCAAGGGCCAAAGCAGGGCAGAUGCAGAGGAGUGAGGGCAGCGGGUGAGUGGGGAUCUAAAAGUCCAGAUAUAGAGAACUAUGAAUGCAUUCAGGCAGUAAGCUUGCUUAUAGUUUAAAAUAAAGUUGGUUUCCUUUGUUGUUGUUGUUGUUUU
rnacentral:lncRNA from 1 species